GAUAGUAAUGGGAAAGAUGAGCUCAUUGUUAUAUGUGCUUCAUUUAUGCAUUUCAUGUUACAAUUAGCUCAUCUUUUUUAUUACUACCUUCAA
rnacentral:pre_miRNA from 1 species